rnacentral:rRNA from 1 species
UAAGGAAUAUUGGUCAAUGGAGGCAACUCUGAACCAGCCAUGCCGCGUGCAGGAAGAAGGCCCUAUGGGUCGUAAACUGCUUUUGAACAAGAGAAAACCCCGGUACGUGUACUGGGUUGAUAGUAUUGUUAGAAUAAGCAUCGGCUAACUUCGUGCCAGCAGCCGCGGUAAGACGAAGGAUGCAAGCGUUAUCCGGAUUCAUUGGGUUUAAAGGGUGCGUAGGCGGACUGAUAAGUCAGUGGUGAAAUCUCUCGGCUUAACCGAGAAACUGCCAUUGAUACUGUUAGUCUAGAGUACAGAUGAUGUGGGCGGAAUAUGACAUGUAGUGGUGAAAUACUUAGAUAUGUCAUAGAACACCGAUUGCGAAGGCAGCUCACAAAACUGUAACUGACGCUGAGGCACGAAAGUGCGGGAUCAAACAGGAUUAGAUACCCCCGUAGUCCCUGAGCGGCUGGCAAGGCGCAU